UACGUAGGGGGGCAAGCGUUGUCCGGAUUUAUUGGGCGUAAAGAGCGUGUAGGCGGCCAGGUAGGUCAGCUGUGAAAACUCGAGGCUCAACCUCGAGACGUCGGUUGAAACCACCUGGCUAGAGUCCGGAAGAGGAGAGUGGAAUUCCCGGUGUAGCGGUGAAAUGCGCAGAUAUCGGGAAGAACACCCGUGGCGAAGGCGGCUCUCUGGGACGGUACUGACGCUGAGACGCGAAAGCGUGGGGAGCAAACAGG
rnacentral:rRNA from 1 species